UACGGAGGAUGCGAGCGUUAUCCGGAUUUAUUGGGUUUAAAGGGUGCGCAGGCGGUCUGUUAAGUCAGCGGUCAAAGCCCGGGGCUCAACCCCGGCCCGCCGUUGAAACUGGCAGUCUCGAGUUGGAGAGAAGUAUGCGGAAUGCGCGGUGUAGCGGUGAAAUGCAUAGAUAUCGCGCAGAACUCCGAUUGCGAAGGCAGCAUGCCGGCUCCACACUGACGCUGAGGCACGAAAGCGUGGGUAUCGAACAG
rnacentral:rRNA from 1 species